UUGUGACCAACAGGCUGAAACUUGUGGUGGUUCUGGAGAACGUCGGUUAUCAGCAGCUCCAGUGAGCGUGUACGUUUAAAGUCUUUUCUGAGUCUUACUUUAACAACUGUUGUAAUCAGCAGGUGUUUACACAGACCUCCGCCGUCAUUCGUUAACACGGGAACCAGUUAAUCCGUAACACCAGCCGGCGAUGCUCGCAUUCUGCCUCGGAGCUCUCUGAACAACUCGCUGUUGUGCAAUUUGCUUCCAUCUCUCCUCUCCAGGGUUUGUUCUCUCUGGGUUUUUAUUAAAGUUCUUCAGCCACCGUCCAGGACUUCUGCUGGUUUCUGACUGUCCUGCUUCCUGCUUCCUGCUUCCUGUCACAUCAUCACGUCACUACGUACGAGGGAACACAUGGCAGAACCAAUAAUCCUGCUUCAUCCGCUCCGCUGUCAGGCGGCGUUUAUGAGACACGGAGUGGAUUCUGGAUCGGUGUAGACCAGCUGGUCCAGUCGGCUCCGAGUGAAGCGGAUCCUCUCGGUGUUUACAGACACGUUUACGAUCCGCUGCGCCGACAAGCGGAUGAUACAGUUCCCAUGGAAACCUGCCUGUUGGCCUUUUCAGAAUCCAAGAUGGCAGCAGGUUUUCAGGAUGGUGGCCGGCCUUAGACCGAUUCCCUGAUCCGGGUCUACGUUCUGGUCUUCUGAUCCGGGUCUACGUUCUGGUCUUCUGAUCCGGGUCUACGUUCUGGUCUGCUGAUCUGGGUCUACGUUCUGGUCUUCUGAUCCGGGUCUUGCUGGUCUGGUCAGUGUGGGACAUUCCGUCUUGUGUCUCUGUACUGAUGGUUUUUGUGACCAGCGUCUGUCCUGCUGGACUCCCAAGACCUGGGUCUGGAGAACAUGUGGACCAGGAGUCCAGGGCAGGAGCUGGCUUUAGCUCUAGACCCUCAGAAGGACAGCGGGACAGCAGUCCUCCAGGCCCUCACCGGGGGGACAGCGUAUCUGUCUUUUGAGGAAAAGGAAGAGGACAGUCUAGCAGAGCUGGAGACCCUGUCCAACAUCAGGACAUGGUCUGGGCCUGCAGCUGGACUCCUCAGGUCUCCAUCAGGUUCAGCUGCUGGACUGCUGGACGAGACGUCUCUGUCUCCAAACGUCAAACAGCACCGUUCCACCAAGACCAGCAGUCCUCAGAGAACAGUGUCCGUCCCCUCGGAGAACAGUGUCCGUCCCCUCGGAGAACAGUGUCCGUCCCCUCGGAGAACAGUGUCCGUCCCCUCGGAGAACAGUGUCCGUCCCCUCGGAGAACAGUGUCCGUCCCCUCGGAGAACAGUCUCCCGCCAUCUUGAAAAAUGGCCGCCGUGUUGGAUGAGUCAGAUCUGAUCAGUGACUCAGAUUAACCUUAUGUUUUCCUGCUGCUGGGCCGGCUCCGGGCCAGGCUGGAGGAGUACCACGGCGUUGUGGAGCAGAUCAGCAGGAACCGACUCAACGGACAGAAAUGUUCUCGCUGAAGAUUGUUUGUUUGUUUUCUUUCAUUCUUUGUACACAAACUGAAAUAAAGUUUUUCUGACUGUUU